UACGGAAGGCAGCAGUAGGGAAUAUUGCGCAAUGGGCGAAAGCCUGACGCAGCGACGCCGCGUGAGUGAUGAAGGCCUUCGGGUCGUAAAGCUCUGUUGUAGGGGAAGAAAAAAUGACGGUACCCUAUAAGAAAGGAUCGGCUAACUUCGUGCCAGCAGCCGCGGUAAUACGAGGGAUCCUAGCGUUGUUCGGAAUCAUUGGGCGUAAAGGGUGUGUAGGCGGCCAUGUAAGUCAGUUGUGAAAGCCCCGGGCUCAACCCGGGAAGUGCUUCUGAUACUGCUUGGCUUGAGUAUUGGAUAGGUGAGUGGAAUUCCAGGUGUAGUGGUGAAAUACGUAGAUAUCUGGAGGAACACCGGCGGCGAAGGCGGCUCACUGGCCAUAUACUGACGCUGAAACACGAAAGCGUGGGUAGCAAACAGGGAUUAGAUACC
rnacentral:rRNA from 1 species